rnacentral:tRNA from 2 species
GCAGUCGUGGCCGAGUGGUUUAGGCGAUGCACUAGAAAUCCAUUGGGGUCUCCCCGCAGAGGUUCGAAUCCUGUCGACUGCG